rnacentral:lncRNA from 1 species
GUCUAGGACUGUGUCAUCUGAAGGCUUGACUGGGGCUGAAGGAGCUGUUUCCAGCAUGGCUCACUCUCAUGGCUGUUGGCAAGAGGCCCCAGGUCCUACCAUGUGGACUUCUCCAUAGGACUGCUUGAGUGUUCUCAUGACAUGACAACCAGCUUCUUCCAGAGUAAGAGAUCCCAAAGAGAGCAAAGAGGAAGCCAGAGGCCUCCCAGCCUGCCUCAGAUCAUGGCCCUGAAAGAGAAGACAUCCUGUUUUUCCAACUCAAGAGACACCACUGCAGGGGGAGCAGUAGCAGGCUUGGGGACGUUUUCCACUCAAGAAGCUGGCUAUGGGAAGAGGUUACCCUGUAUUUCAUGCAAUACAAAGGAAGAUGGCUGUUUGGGGUUGCCGUGUCUCUUAGCAAUUAAGGAGAUGGCUACAGCCAAGCAGUGUGAAGUGACAGCACCAGAAAGUUUUCUACACCAGAGGCUGAGAACAGGGGCUGUGCAGUCAUAUUCAAUAUUGAGUCCCCAACCCUAACCCGGACCUGGCACAUACAAGACAUUCAGCAGAUGGCUAUUGAAUGAAAAUAUAUAAAUGAAUCAACGAUUACCAGCUGCCUCCACUCCCUUAACCUGCUACAGAAUUAAUAAACUAAUCUUGAGCAUAG